rnacentral:rRNA from 1 species
AACGAACGCUGGCGGCAGGCUUAACACAUGCAAGUCGAACGCACCGCAAGGUGAGUGGCAGACGGGUGAGUAACACGUUGGGAUCUGCCCAAUGGUACGGAAUAGCUCCGGGAAACUGGAAUUAAUACCGUAUGUGCCCUUCGGGGGAAAGAUUUAUCGCCAUUGGAUGAACCCGCGUCGGAUUAGCUAGUUGGUGAGGUAAAGGCUCACCAAGGCGACGAUCCGUAGCUGGUCUGAGAGGAUGAUCAGCCACACUGGGACUGAGACACGGCCCAGAUUCCUACGGGGGGCCGCCGUGGGGAAUAUUGGAAAAUGGGCUCAAGCCGGAUCCAGCCAUGCCGCGUGAGUGAUGAAGGCCUUAGGGUUGUAAAGCUCUUUCGCCGACGAAGAUAAUGCCGGUAGUCGGAGAAGAAGCCCCGGCUAACUUCGUGCCAGCCGCCGCAGUAA